AUCGCUGCUAUCUCCAGGUGUAGAGAUAUGACAUCGCUGCUACCUCCAGACAUAGAGACAUGACAUCACUGCUAUCUCCAGACAUAGAGAUAUGACAUCGCUGCUAUCUCCAGACGUAGGGACAUGACAUCACUGCUAUCUCCAGGUGUAGAGAUAUGACAUCGCUGCUAUCUCCAGGUGUAGAGAUAUGACAUCGCUGCUAUCUCCAGGUGUAGAGAUAUGACAUCACUGUUAUCUCCAGGUGUAGAGAUAUGACAUUGCUGCUAUCUCCAGGUGUAGAGAUAUGACAUCGCUGCUAUCUCCAGGUGUAGAGAUAUGACAUCACUGCUAUCUCCAGGUGUAGAGACGUGACAUCACUGUUAUCUCCAGAUGUAGAGAUAUGACAUCACUGCUAUCUCCAGGUGUAGAGAUAUGACAUCACUGUUAUCUCCAGGUGUAGAGAUAUGACAUCACUGCUAUCUCCAGGUGUAGAGAUAUGACAUCACUGUUAUCUCCAGGUGUAGAGAUAUGACAUCACUGCUAUCUCCAGGUGUAGAGAUAUGACAUCGCCUAGAUCUCCGUAUGACAUUGUAGAGUGUGUGUGUGUGUGUGUUUCUUUAAAUAGUGAGUUAUAGGUGCAACCCUCGCUAGCAGUAUUUAUGAAGUAGAUAAAUUACUGGGACAAGGUGAAAAGGACAAGAGCGCGCACACACACACA